rnacentral:tRNA from 1 species
GUCCCUGUAGUUUAACGGAUAGAAUAGAGCUUUCCUAAAGCUUUGGUCGAGGUUCGAUUCCUCGCGGGGACACCA